rnacentral:lncRNA from 1 species
UUUUUCAUUAUCUCCAAUUUAUAGCAUCACACGCUAAAUUCCCUAUCUGACUUAAGCAUCGGAGGGGCGACGAGCACACAUCUCGUUGUCUUUGUUUCAGGUAUUUGAAGAUCGUUCGUGUUCAUCCAAGCUCGAAGUUCGAUCAUCAAGUUCGAGAACAUUCAAGUACUAUUUUUUUGUAGCAUCAUUGGCGCCGUCUGUGGAAAGCGCUACAAAAAGCCAGGGUCAAUACACGUUCAGGUCUUCCUCCUGCAAGUUCAUCCGGCUCGAAUAACCCUCCUCCUCCUAAGGAAUGCCAUGCCCUUAAGAAGAAUCGUCAAAGAUGCCAACACCUUUUCACGCUGUUGUCACCGCCGGAGCUUUUAAGGAACUUCGUCAGCAGGUUUCUGCACUAACCCAAUUGUUAAGCCAAAGAAAUUCACACCCGUCACAUACUCCAACCCCCGAAGGUCAUGAUGAUGAAGGGUUGGAACUUCAGGUGCACUGCAAGUGGCUUCAGGUUCAAGGUCCAUUACAAUGGACUCCGCAGAACUUGCUAGAAUUAUUCAAGAAGGGAUAGCAGUAGGUAUGCAAUAGAAUACUCUGGCAGAAGCAGGAUUCACCCCCAAUACGCCGUUCACUCCAGAAGUUCUCUCAUAUCCUCUCCCGAAUAGGUUCAAGUAUCCUCGGAUGAAGGAGUACGAUGGGAUAAUCAACCCCAUUAAUCAUUUCAAUGUGUACACCGAUAUCAUGAACUUACAAAUUGCACCAGAUGCAAUGAUGUGCAAGGCCUUCCCUCAGACCCUCACAAACACAACUAGAGAUUGGUUUUCCACAUUGGAACUGAACUCUAUCGCCUACUUUUCAGAUUUGGCCGAUAAGUUCUUCGUUUUCUUUGCAAGCUGCAAGCGAAUCAGAAAGACAGUCGAAUCACUCAUGCAGAUGCGUCAAGGACCCAAUGAGACACGACGCAGUUUCAUGACAAGGUUCAAUAUAAAAAGGCUUCAGAUCCCCCGAUCUACAUAUCACUGCCGCAGUCUCAGCUUUGACAUACGCCGUCAAGUGUGAAGCAUUCAAGAUGUCGUUGUCUAAGUGAUGAGUGAUUUACACUUAUUAUAUUAUGCCAUUAAUUUCAUGAUUUUGCUAUCUUGGAGAGUAUUUUAGAGGUGCUAACAUGUGGUUUUCAUGCUAUUUUUAAGGAUGGAUGAAGUGGAGAAAACAAGUGCUAAAAGAGGCCAAAUGAAAGAAAUAGGCAAAAGUUGGCGAAAUUGGAUGAAAGGACCAAAAUGUAAGAGAUCCAAAGUUCGAGGACCAAAGUGCACAAAAUCAAAAGUUGUAUCGGAACUUGCAAUGAAGCUCUGAGAGUGGUAGGAGUCAAUUGGAUGAAGGAAGGUGUCAAAAGGGAUCAAAUUUAAUCAAGAUAUGAUCAUAAAUCAUUUUCCAACUGAAAAGUUUUGCAUCGAAUUUUUAGUUUCACAUUCAGACCCAUUUUUGACAUAGCAAACGAUCGAAUUUGAGAAUGAUUCCUGAAGAAAAGUUGUAGCCCUUUGAAUUACCUUUCCAAGUCAUCUUGAAUCACUUCAAUUGGAUAUCGAACAAGAAAGUUAUGCUAAAAAUACUAAAACACGCACAGAAUGCCGUUUCGGCGAACCGAGCGCCUAGACGCUAUACUCUCAGCGCCCGGCCCCACAAUGCUAUAAUUCCAACAGAAACUCAGCGUCCAGGUGCUGCAUUCCGAGAAAGGGAAAUUCAGAUUUCUAAAAUAUAUUUCUCGGUCCAAAUCGACUCCAACCCGUCCAAAACUCCUAGAAACUAUAAAUACCACCCAAAAACCUAAAAAAAGGGGAGAGCCGCACAUUACAAAUUUGUGGAAACCAGCCACGUAUAGGGGAAACAAGCAAGAGAAUUCUGGGGAGAACAGCCGGCGAUUACAGAACAAUUGAAGGGGAUUUUUAUUGGCUCAAACUUCUCGGAUUGAGAAGGAAGAAAGGAGAAAAAGGGGCACGGCUAGAAAGACAAAUACAAUUGAAAGAAUUAAUUUUGGGGAAGAAAUCAAACUGCUACAAACGAGUUUUUCCAUUCCUUUUUCUUUUCCAUGUGCUUUCAUUUUAAUUUACUUGUGUUAAUUCUUUCAAUUAUGCACUAAACGUUAAUCAUAGGGUUGAUGUAGCCUGCUUUAGAAAUGUUUGAAUUCCGUUUUAAUUAUUUCAAUUAAUCUUUCCGUUUAUUUAUUUAUGUUGUGUGUGUGCAAUGCUUUCAAUUAACUGGCCAAUAAUUGAUUGAUUUGAUGUUCUAAAUUUUGGCGCUUGAGAG